CCACUGGCUUCUCAACACAGGGUUUUUCAGCUGCAAAAGGCCACAGGCACAAAGUUGUUGCUCAAUAAGCAAAUGCUGGAAGGAUGAAUGCAUGAACUGAACUAUUAUCUACUAGAGCCUGCAUCCUUGCUAAGAGCCAGUCAUCCCUCAGUAUCCAAGGCUGUUUGGUUCCAGGACUCCAGCAGAUACCCAAAGCCAAGGAUACUCAAGUUUCUUGUAUAAAAUAGAGGACUAUUUGCUUAUAAUUUAUGUAUAUCCUUUUGUAUACUUUAAAAUUAUCUCUAGAUUACUUGUAAUACCUAACAUAAAGUAAACACUAUGCAAACAGUUGUAACAUUAUAUUGUUUG
ensembl:lncRNA